CCAUUUGCCAACCUUUAGAAUUUAAAAAUCAACACAAAAACCAAUUGAAGUAUUAAAGCAUUAUCUUAUUCUUUAGUUAAAUUGAAGAUGUAUUUAAACUUCUCACUCGCUAGAAACAUGAAAGUUUGGUGUUGUUUAUUUACACUGCUGUCCACACAGCAUACCAGUCCAACCUGCCUCUCCAUUGAUGCUUGCGAGAUUGCAUCCUGUAACCGCAAGGUACAAAACUGCAAGGCUGCCUUUGGUGUCUAGGCACUGCUUGCAGUCUGCAAAUCAACAAGGCUUGGCAAAAAAAAGAAACUCCCAAUUAUUCAAUAAAGCCAGCAUGGUUGUAGUGAGGUGAGGCACCCCAGAGGCCCCAGCACUGCUCAGCCCCUGAGAAAAUGGAUAUCAAAUUUAUUUUAUAGGACAGGCCUGAAAUUGCAGGGCUCAAAAAAUGGAAGUACCAAGGACUGAAACCAAGGGAAGAAGAAUCCUAUGAAACCAACUCAGAUUUAGUUUCAGCCCUCUCAAUCUAAUGACACGUGGUAGAAUAAAUCAAUCAUUUCACCUAUUUGCCAUGUCUCAUGAUUUAUAGCAGGUCUAAUCAAGGGUCCAAAAGGUUAGAAGGUCAUAUUAGUCUUAUAUAUUUCUCAAUACCAAGUAUUCAGCAAUGAGUGCGAUAUUUGAUAUUUUGACCCUUUUUAUCUAGUAACGUAAAAAGCUUUUGCCCUAUAUAGAAAAAAAUUGAUGAUUAAAUCUUUGUGUGCCAUAUUAAGCCAUGGCAAUUAAAAGCUCAAAUGAGAGAUGACAUUUAGAUUUGAGUAAUUUCUUGCAUAAAAAUCACAUUAAAAUUACUUGCAAACCAAGAAAUAUUUUCUACAACUAAAGUACAAAUACUAGAUAUUCUUUGACUCAUACUUUCUGCAAUAUUUCAGCAACGAUAAUUAAGGUUUUAAAUUUUGGGGGUGUUUGGGAGGGGAGGGCUAAACUUUAGCCCCCUCCUUUUAGCCAGAUUUUAGCCCUUCUCAUUCAAACACUAGGGCUAAAAUGGAGGGGCUAAAGUUUAGCCCCCCAUAAUCCAUUAGCCCCUCCAAGGGGUGCUAAAAUGGACUAAAGGGGCUAAAAGUGAUCCCC
rnacentral:lncRNA from 1 species